CUGCAGUCGACGGUGACGAUGGAGCUUGCUCUGUCUGAUCAGUGGCGAACGGGUGAGUAACACGUGAGUAACCUGCCCCCGACUCUGGAAUAACCGUGGGAAACGACGGCUAAUACCGGAUAUGAGACGCACAGGCAUCUGUGGGUCUGGAAAGAUUUAUCGGUCAGGGAUGGACUCGCGGCCUAUCAGCUUGUUGGUGGGGUAAUGGCCUACCAAGGCGACGACGGGUAGCCGGCCUGAGAGGGCGACCGGCCACACUGGGACUGAGAUACGGCCCAGACUCCUACGGGAGGCAGCAGUGGGGAAUAUUGCACAAUGGGCGCAAGCCUGAUGCAGCGACGCCGCGUGAGGGAUGAAGGCCUUCGGGUUGUAAACCUCUUUCAGCAGGGAAGAAGCGAAAGUGACGGUACCUGCAGAAGAAGCGCCGGCUAACUACGUGCCAGCAGCCGCGGUAAUACGUAGGGCGCAAGCGUUGUCCGGAAUUAUUGGGCGUAAAGAGCUCGUAGGCGGUUUGUCGCGUCUGCUGUGAAAACCUGAGGCUCAACCUCGGGCUUGCAGUGGGUACGGGCAGACUAGAGUGCGGUAGGGGUGACUGGAAUUCCUGGUGUAGCGGUGGAAUGCGCAGAUAUCAGGAGGAACACCGAUGGCGAAGGCAGGUCACUGGGCCGCAACUGACGCUGAGGAGCGAAAGCAUGGGGAGCGAACAGGAUUAGAUACCCUGGUAGUCCAUGCCGUAAACGUUGGGCACUAGGUGUGGGGCUCAUUCCACGAGUUCCGUGCCGCAGCAAACGCA
rnacentral:rRNA from 1 species